rnacentral:tRNA from 1 species
GGGAAUGUAGUUCAGUGUUAGAGCAUUUACCUAGCAUGCACAAGGCCCUGGGUUCAAUUCCCAGCUCCUCA